UCCCUCGAGCCGGAUUUGAACCAGCGACCUAAGGAUCACUGAUGUACCAUCUACAGUCCUCCGCUCUGCCAACUGAGCUAUCGAGGG
rnacentral:tRNA from 1 species